CACCUUUUCCUCCUUCCCUUCUUUCUUUCCUCUCCUUCCCUUCCCUUUUUCUCCUUCCCUUCCCUUUCUCCUUCCCUUCUUCCUUUUUUCCUCCUUUCCCUUCCCUUCCUUUCCUUUCUCUUUUCCUUUCCCUUCCUUUUUUCCUUUCCCUUUCUUUCCUUUCCUUUCCGUUCCUUUUUUCUUUUCCUUUCCCCUCCUUUCCUUUCUCCUUUCCUUUCCGUUCCCUUCUUUUCCUUCCCUUCUUUUCCUCCUUUCCCUUCCCUUCCUUUCCUUUCUCCUUUCCUUUCCCUUCUUUUUUCUCCUUUCCCUUCCUUUUUUCCUUUCCCUUUCUUUCCUUUCCCUUCCCUUCCUUUUUCUCUUUUCCUUUCCCCCCUUUCCUUUCUCCAUUCCUUUCCUUUCCCUUCUUUUCCUUCCCUUCCUUUCCUUUCUCCUUUCCCUUCCCUUUCUUUCCUUUCUCCUUUCCUUCCCCUUCCUUUUUUCCUUCCCCUUUCUUUCCUUUCCCUUCCCUUCCUUUUUUCUCUUUUCCUUUUUUCCCUCCUUUCCUUUCCCUUCUUUUCCUUCCCUUCCUUUUUUUCUCCGUUCCUUUCCUCUCCCUUCCUUCUCUUCCCUUCUUUUUUUCUCCUUUCCCUUCCCUUCCUUCCUUCCUUUCCUCCCCUUCACCCUCCCCUUCCCUCCUGGGACCCAAGGCAAACACUAUCCAGGAGAAGCAAUGCUCCAAUUCUGGCUUGAAGGAAGAUUCCAACGUCUGGGUUUCGCUCAACCUCACCUUGAUGAAGCUCAUGAGAACCUCACAAUCGUCGCUGGUGGCCGGACGGAUGAGACACUCCAUCGUUCUGGCCGGGAGGGACGCAGCAGCUCCAAAGUGGCACCGGCCAACAGAGCCGGGCCCUUUUGUCUUCUCCUGCCCUGCCCAGCACGGGAACCAUUGCCAGUGGAUGAUGGCAGAGGGCCAAACGCUGCCAAUCACGUGGAGAAAGGUGUGGCAAUCAAACUUUCACUAGCUCAAAGGUGCCCAGAAUGGUUUAUGGAUUUUUUUAUUUUAUUGAGGCUUUAAUCCUGCCUUUUAUGACUUGAUAAGUCUGUAAGUUGGAACCUGGAUAGAAUAGAAUGGAACAGAAAAUAAAAGAAUAGAAUAGAAUGAAUAAUAUAGAAUU
rnacentral:lncRNA from 1 species